rnacentral:rRNA from 1 species
AGAAUUUUAAUGGUCGAACAGACCAACCCUUAAAGACUUCUGCACCUUUAGGAUAUUCUGGUCCAACAUCGAGGUCACAAACCUUUUUUUCGAUUAGAGCUCUCAAAAAAGAUUAUGCUGUUAUCCCUACGGUAACUAAUUUCAUUAAUCAUAAUUUUUGGAUCAAAACAAGUAGGUUUUAAGAAAUUAAAGAAGCUUUUUUUGUUCCUCAGUCGCCCCAACCAAAAUUUUUAAUAAUUUUUUUUUACAUAGUAUAAUUAAAUUUUAUUAAUUUUUUUAAAGCUCGAUAGGGUCUUCUUGUCUUUUAAUUAUAUACAGACCUCUUCAUCUGUAAGUAAAAUUUUAUUUAAUUAGAAAGAGACAGCUUUGCUCUUGUGAGACCAUUCAUUCCAGUCCUCAAUUAUAGGACAAAUUAUUAUGCUACCUUAGCACAGUUAAGAUACUGCGGCCGUUUAAAAAAUCACUGGGCAGGCCGGACUCUUUAUGUGAAUUAUUCAAAGAGCC